rnacentral:rRNA from 1 species
CCUACGGGAGGCAGCAGUGAGGAAUAUUGGUCAAUGGGCGGAAGCCUGAACCAGCCAAGUAGCGUGCAGGAUGACGGCCCUACGGGUUGUAAACUGCUUUUAUACGGGAAUAACGCGCCUUACGUGUAGGGCUUUGCAUGUACCGUAUGAAUAAGGACCGGCUAAUUCCGUGCCAGCAGCCGCGGUAAUACGGAAGGUCCGGCGUUUGCCGGAUUUAUUGGGGUUAAAGGGGGCGUAGGCCGCAUGUCAAGCGUGCUGUGAAAUGUCCGGGCUCAACCCGGGCCUUGCAGCGCGAACUGGCGUGCUUGAGUCCGCGGAAGGCAGGCGGAAUUCGUCGUGUAGCGGUGAAAUGCUUAGAUAUGACGAAGAACCCCGAUUGCGAAGGCAGCUUGCUGCAGCGGAACUGACGCUGAUGCUCGAAAGCGCGGGUAUCGAACAGGAUUAGAUACCCUAGUAGUC